AUGACUAUUAUAGAUUUCAUAGAGCUGAGUGAUGAUGAUAUUAUCGACUUGAGUAGCGAUGAGGAGACUGUUCAAGAGGUUCAGAUUGCAACUCAACACCGGGCGACGUCGCUUGAUAGGCAGGGUAUGUUUUUCCUAGCUGGUGAAGGAAACCAAGGGGUGCAGGCCGUAUUUGUUGCAGCUGGUGAAGGAAGUCAAGAUGUGCAGGCCGUGUUUGUUGCAGCCAGUAAAGGAAGUCAAGAUGUGCAGACUGUGUUUGUUGCAGCUAGUGAAGGAAGGCAAGAGGCUACUGAGCCCGGACAUGCUUUGGAAGCUACCGCAUUGUCCAUGGUUAUGGAGAAAGCACCUCUUGUUGCAGCUAGUGAAGGAAGGCAGGAGGCUGCUGAGUCUGGACAUGCCUUGGAAGCUACCACGGUGUCCUUGCUUACAGAAACACCACCUCUAGGCCCGACUUCCACCACUCCGAAAGCUCAGACUUCUGAAGGUGGCGACGCAAAGGCAGUGAGAGUGAAGAGGAAAUAUCGUAAGGGGAACUACCAUACCGACACUCCUAGGAGAAGUCCUAGGCUUAUACAGAUGGGUGAAUGUUGUACCAGUCCUGUGGAAGAGCCAACAGCCGACCACAAGAGGUCUCGCAUGCUCGGGCCAGCAGAAGAAUCAGCUACCUUUAUCAACUCAGCUGAAACGGUUGUCCUCGCUCUGCCACAUGCUGGAUCAACGAAUUGUCUUCGCUCUCCAACAUCAGCGACAUUCCCCAGCCUGAUUUCCACCAGUCCUACAGCUGUGACUUCUGGAGGUGGCGAUGCAAAGCUGGUGAGAGUGAAGGCGAAACAUCCUGAGAGGAACUACCAUAUCUUGUCCUUGGUUAGGCAAAAACCACCUCUUGCUCCGACUUCCACCAGUCCGAAGGCUCUGUCCUCAGAAGGUGGUGACGCGAAGCUUGUGACCGGGAAGGUGAAACGUCGUAGGAAGAACUGCCGACCCUGCAAACUAACUCCUUAG
rnacentral:rRNA from 1 species